GAAAGAAUAUCGGAGACGGAUGGGCAUGCGGCGCAUUAGCUAGUUGGCGGGGUAACGGCCCACCAAGGCGACGAUGCGUAGGGGUUCUGAGAGGAAGGUCCCCCACACUGGUACUGAGACACGGACCAGACUCCUACGGGAGGCAGCAGUGAGGAAUAUUGGUCAAUGGGCGAGAGCCUGAACCAGCCAAGUCGCGUGAGGGAGUACUGCCCUAUGGGUUGUAAACCUCUUUUGUCGGGGAGCAAAAGCCGGACGUGUCCGGCUGUGAGAGUACCCGAAGAAAAAGCAUCGGCUAACUCCGUGCCAGCAGCCGCGGUAAUACGGAGGAUGCGAGCGUUAUCCGGAUUUAUUGGGUUUAAAGGGUGCGCAGGCGGAUUUUUAAGUCAGCGGUCAAAUCGUGGGGCUCAACCCCAUCCAGCCGUUGAAACUGGGGAUCUAGAGUGUGCGAGAGGUAUGCGGAAUGCGUGGUGUAGCGGUGAAAUGCAUAGAUAUCACGCAGAACCCCGAUUGCGAAGGCAGCAUACCGGUGCACAACUGACGCUCAGGCACGAAAGCGUGGGUAUCGAACAGGAUUAGAUACCCUGGUAGUCCUCGCAGUAAACGAUGAAUGCUACCUGUUUGGCCAGAUUGAAGGCUGA
rnacentral:rRNA from 1 species